AAGCCUGCACCAAAUCAAGCAGCUGACUGACAACCACUCCCUUCUCCCUAUCUCCUUUACUCAAUAAAUACAAAGGGAGCUAAAAUCUCAGGGCCCAUGUUCACUAGAAACAAGGAGCCCCCUGACCCCUUCUUCCAAACAUACUCUUUUGUCUUUAUGUUUAUUCCUGCACUCGUCCCCCUUUGUUCAGUCCAACAGGGAUUGGGGCUGCGUCAAAGUGGUGCCUGAACAGGGACUUCAAGGACGCGAAUGAAGAAGGUCCGUUGGAGCAGAGGAAGUGAAACUGACAAGAUGAACGGGGACCUCGGGAGGAGUCUGCCAACAGCAGAUAUAAGGACAGUGCCCUAAAGAAGUACUGUUCAGUGCCCUAAAGAGGUACUGGGAAUGAUAUAAGGUCAGGCUGAGCUCCAGAUUUCAGAGGUUUCUUUAUAAACAUCAGUAAUUUUUUGAGUUUGACAAGAUCACAGCAGUGCCAUGAAGCCAUCUGAAGCAUCGAGGCUCAGGUUACCUCUUUGGCAUGGCUCAAAUGCCUACAAGGACCAAUGAAACUGGAGCAACAAAUAUAAGCAAAACAACAGCGAGUGCAAGAGGACACAGCAAAUUAGAGAAUGCAUGCCCCUAUCUAACAGAUGCGGUGGGCACUUUUCAUUUUAUCAGAUUCUCCAAAUUUUCAAGAGAAGCCAGAAAUUCAGGCUUUUAGAGGUUAGCAUCUAAAUAAAAAGUUAAAAAAAUAAAAGGUGUAUGUGACCACACAACAUAGGUCUGAGUGCCAGAUUUGGCUCUUUGGUCACCAAUUAAAGACUUCUAUUACACUACAAUCUCUUUAAUGAUUUCUACAAAGGGUUCUAGGGGUUUUCAUGCAAAUAAUUCUCCCGUGGCUCAUAGUAAUAUCCCUUAGCGGCUUUGGAAAUCAGAACAAUUUAGGCCAACUUAUGGUGGAAUCAUGUCUCAUGUAGUUUUUCAGCUCCAUCUGGCAAACAGCUCCCCCUGGCUCAAAUAAUCAUUGUCCAACUGACUGCUGGCAGUAGGGCAGGACUCCCUCAAAGAGUAGGACAUGGGAUAUCUGCCCAAAUCACUCUGUCUUGGGAAUGAGUCUGUCUAUACUGAAUAGUUUAUUAUGCCUCAAGUUGGUAUAUUGCUGUGCAGCUGCCUCUGCAGUGGCAGCUGAAUGCAUCUGUCACACAGAAUCUGCAGCCAUUAAUACUAUUGUUAUAUUAGGCACUGGGAUUUUAUUUCCCUCAAUACUUUAUUUCAUUGAACAAUAUUGAAUUUUCUUCUGCCAAAGUUGAGUUGUGAGACUAAAUCGUCAGCAGAUGUUUUAAAUUGUUCUGUUAAUGAUAGCUUGUUUCUCUUUCUGGUAUUGUUUUAUCUCUGAAGUAUUGCUUUGGGUUUUCAAUUUUGGUGGACAGAUCUGUGCUUCUCCUCACUGCAGAACUUUAAGCAAGUCUCUAAGGCAUGUCUUACUAUUUUAUUUCUUAUUCUUAAUGUGUCAGGCCAGGUUGGGCAGCAGCCUGCAGGAGCUGCAGUCUGUUUAACAGAAAGUUUCAGAACUACACUACAGAACUUUUUGGUGUGGUGAGAGGAAGAGGAAAACAUUCUCACAGCAAUACUCCAAAAAAAAAAAAAAAAAAAGGAAAUUCUACUCAGACUUUUGGUCUGCCAAGAUUUUUUCCACUAGAUUCAUGAUGUAAUCAUUAUGUUCCCUUUCUUCAUGCACUUUCUCUCUCUCACUGCCAUUCAGAUGGAAAUUUUCUACAUAACUUGGGGGUCUCAAAGAUCAUUUACCCACAGACACCCUCCUGGGCUACUAAUGAACAUUAGAGCCACUGAGAUAAAUUACCUCAUGUCCUUCUGAGAGGUGACAACGUGCUAGCAGCCCUCCCU
rnacentral:lncRNA from 1 species